rnacentral:rRNA from 1 species
UACGGAGGGUGCAAGCGUUGUUCGGAAUUACUGGGCGUAAAGCGCGCGUAGGUGGUCUAUUAAGUCAGAUGUGAAAGUCCCUGGCUCAACUGGGGAAGUGCAUAUGAAACUGGUAGACUUGAGUACUGGAGGGGGAAGUGGAAUUCCCGGUGUAGAGGUGAAAUUCGUAGAUAUCGGGAGGAAUACCGGUGGCGAAGGCGACUUCCUGGCCAGAUACUGACACUGAGGUGCGAAAGCGUGGGUAGCAAACAGG